GCAUUUUUCUUACUUAUCAUUGUACAAUGAGUACAGUGACAGUGAAGUAAGUUCCCAGAUGGAGAUGAUCUGUGCAAUGAGUGCUUUUGCUACCAGAUGUGAUGAUACUCUGAAGAAUCUCUGCAGUCAAGUGUUUGCUAUUUUUACCGAGGGAGCAAUUAAUUUGAAUGGUAUACAGUUACAUUAAUAUUAUUAACCAUAUUGGAGAGAUAUUCACAUUACUCGUCCUUCUGGAAACCUUGAUAUCUAGCACUUCAUUACCUACAAAUUGGAAUAAAUACUGCAAAUCACUGAAAUCAUUGAGACCCAAUCUAAAGAAAAUUGAUUUAUCUGAAAAGCAAUUUAAUUCUUUAAUGAGUGCUAUCGACAACAUAACGUCGAAGAUAAUGCACGAUGAUAUUGUGCACAAAUCACUGCAAAAUUUAUCCACAUUAAGAAAAAGUUUAAUAGAUAAAAAUUGCUCGCUAAUAGCCAAUGAUUUUUUUCAAUACCUUAAGCAAGCAAUAACGCAACUUGACAAAUUAGUGCAGGAGCAGCCUAACGUCAAUAAUAUGUACAAAUGUAUCAAAAUUAAUGCGUUAUUUGUGUUGUCAUCGCAUAUAUUUGGAAAUAUUGACAAGAAAAUUUUCAGAUCUUUAAGUGAAUUGAAUACAAAGGCGCAUAGCAUUUAUGUUAUUGGAACUACAAUUUGGUAUCCUGAACAGUUUCUUCAAAGACAUGCAACAGCACUAUGCGCUAGACAUGAAAAACUAUCACAAGUUAUGUUAAAGGCUCGUCAGGCAUAUGUCACCACUAAGAAAGCGAAUUUACUUCGUGAUGUUGCUACUGUUCAAACUAUAUGCACAAAAUGGGUUUUGACUGUAGAAACAACAUUUUCUGCUAACCAUCAUAAGCUUAAUGCCGCUGAAAUGAGCUCCCAUGCUAGAACACUUUUAGAGGGAUUGGCUAUUGCGUCUAAAACAAACCACGAGGUUCUAACAUUAAUUAAUUUACAUCUGUCGCUGGGCAUUCCGCUACCUAAAAGUAUGCUGAUGUCGCUAUUUGAAGUUAUGGACAUGUUAAAAACUAUACACAAUAUUAUUUCUCGUAACCGAAAUCAAAUAAUUUCGUCCAUAAACAUGGUAACUCAACACCUGUUAUUCCAAGCUACAUCAUCAAUAUUAGAUGUGAAAAAAGCUUUAGUUUCCGACAAAAAUUUUGCGAAUAAGAGACUAGAUGAACUAACAUGUAUAGUAAUCGCUGAACGUGCACUUAAAGGCGCUCCAACUACUGAACGUAACAUUUCAGCAAAUAUCGCGCUUAGUUUCAUACCGGAUGCUACAUAUUUAGAAGACAGUUAUGCUAAGCUUGCAACAUUACUUGAUAAAGUGCAAAUGUUAACAAAUUUCGUAAAGUCUAUGGAUAAUUUUUACGACUGCUCAUGGUUGCUAUGGCAUAAAAAUGUAAUACCGAUAUAUUUCCAACAAAAUUUCAAUAUACAGUUAAACGCAUUAAAAUUAAAGUACUUCUUUAUGGUACUAGAAGACUGUGUCGUACUUUUACAAAAAACUGAUGAAUACUAUGCAAUCAAUAAGUCUGAAGAGUUCAUAAACUUUGUACAAAGUAUUAUAAAUAGUAACAUUAUUAACAGUGCUAGUCAAUAUAUAGAAACUAAUCUGCGUUUGCACAUCCAUUCUCAUUUGCAACUUGAUGUUGUGAAUCCAUUUACCUUCGAGAUGACGAACAAGUUAUUGCUUGUCGCCGAUAAUUUCAGAAUUCAGCACAUUUAUAUGUGUGUGGUGCCUUCUGUGGAACAUUAUCUAUCCACAAUGUAUUAUAAUUUAACAACUGUCGUGUUAUCUGAUUGGAAAACCUACGGAGAAAUGCGGCAAAUGGCGAAAUUUAAAUUUAAUCUUAAAACUGUUCAAGAUAAUCUUCCCACGCAAACUUUAGAACAAGGGUUAGAUGUAUUAGAAAUCAUGCGUAAUAUCCAUAUUUUUGUAUCUAAAUACCAAUACAAUCUAAACAACCAAAUAUUUAUCGAAAGAAGCAGCAACAACAAAUACUUGAAUUCCAUAAACAUUAGGCAUAUUGCUAAUUCUAUUAGAACUCACGGCACGGGUAUAAUGAAUACAACGGUAAAUUUUACUUACCAAUUUCUAAAGAAGAAAUUUUUUACCUUUUCUCAAUUUAUGUAUGAUGAACACAUUAAAUCAAGGUUAAUAAAGGAUUUGAGAUAUUUCAAAGAAAUUGCUGAAAGCAAUGGGAGUAUGUAUCCUUAUAAAAAUGCGGAGAAAUUUAAUAAAGCUAUAAAAGUCCUCGGUUUAAAUGAAGAUGGACAAAGCUACCUUGACCUAUUUCGAGAUCUCAUUAGCCAAAUUGGUAAUGCUAUGGGAUAUGUUAGAAUGAUUAGAUCGGGUGGUCGCCAUUGUUGUUCAGACGCAACUAUAUUUUUGCCUACUCUUGAGGAUGUUGAAUCAUUUAAAGAACUUUGUGAAGAAGAUUGUCUUGGUCUACAAACCGUCCAGUCCGCCGAGAACUUGGAUCAUAACAUUAAUAACCUAAUUUCCAAUUUUAUUCAAGGCACAGAAUACUUCAAAUUACUUGUUGAUGUGUUUGCACCUGUAUUUCGUAACCCAAAAAAUGUACAUCUCAGAAACUUUUUUAUUAUUGUGCCCCCUCUGACGCUGAACUUUGUAGAACAAAUGAUAUUGUCAAAGGACAAGAUGUCGAAGAAGAACAAAAUAGGUGCAUCUUUCACUGACGACGGUUUUGCUAUGGGUGUGGCUUACAUAUUGAAAUUAUUAGAUCAGGAUACAAAUUUUGAAACACUGCAUUGGUUUGAUUCCAUUUGGAAGCAUAUUAAACACGAGAGAGAAAUACUUGAAGAGCAGAAAAGUAAGGGAUCUAUCCAAUUACAGCAGGCUUUAGCACUCACUGCAAAGAAGUUAAAGACAUUAGAAGAAGAAUAUAAACUUCUUUAUUAUAGCCUUACCAGUGCAAGAAUAUUUUUUAGGUAGAUAUGUAACACCCACGUGCAUCACGGCUAGAAUAAUAGUGUUCAGGAGUGACUGGGCAUUCAACCUGUUUAUUGAAGCUGCCUAAAUAAGUUUGUUGAAUUGGUCUAAAAUAAAAUGUCCACAACUCAAAUCCAUAUGAACGGGUGAAAGGCUAAUCGACUUAAGCGAAAUUUUUUAGCGACAUUAACUUGCAUACGCCUAAGAUGUUUUUAUUACAUAGAUACGUUGUCCGAGCUCAAUACUAGUAAGACGAAAGCAAGGUAAUUGCCCGACAUUCACCUAGUCAAUCUCCAACCACUGUCGCGGCUAGUCGGGUUACUAACUUUUUGUAUUUUUAUAAAUAAAAUUCCUAGACGAUAUAAAAUUAUACUCCAACUAUGAAUGAAAAAAACGUUUCAUUUCAUAGGUUAGUAAUAAGUACACACUAUUUAACUUAUGUUUUAAUAAAUGCAUUUUAUUCGACUGUCAUGGCGACGGCGGUCGACACUUGAGCCGUAUCAAUGCGAGUUACUAGGGCUGUACAGGUAUGUGACUACAGUAAAUAGUGCGCUGUUUUUAUGUGUAAUUUUGUUAGUCUAUGAUGCGUCUAUUUGUAAAACGUCAUUGGUAUACAGAUUUAGAAUCAUCACUGUGUUCUGUUUUAUUAACCUACUUCAAAAUUUCGAAAUAAAAUGUCGCUAAGUCAAUUAGCCUUUCAAUCGUCGAUAUAUAUUCACAACCAGAAUUCAGAAAAAGCACGAGCUGCCAAUUUUUACUUAUUUUGUAUAUGACUGCCUCGGUGGCGUAGUUGUAC
rnacentral:misc_RNA from 1 species